UACGUAGGGUGCGAGCGUUGUCCGGAAUUAUUGGGCGUAAAGGGCUCGUAGGCGGUUUGUCGCGUCGGGAGUGAAAACCUUGGGCUUAACUCAGGGCUUGCUUUCGAUACGGGCAGACUAGAGGUAUGCAGGGGAGAACGGAAUUCCUGGUGUAGCGGUGGAAUGCGCAGAUAUCAGGAGGAACACCGAUAGCGAAGGCAGCUCGCUGGGACGGUACUGACGCUGAGGCGCGAAAGCGUGGGGAGCGAACAGG
rnacentral:rRNA from 1 species